rnacentral:rRNA from 1 species
AGUGAACGCUGGCGGUAGGCCUAACACAUGCAAGUCGAACGGGAGCACAGUAAGAGCUUGCUCUUACGGGUGGCGAGUGGCGGACGGGUGAGGAAUACAUCGGAAUCUACUUUUUCGUGGGGGAUAACGUAGGGAAACUUACGCUAAUACCGCAUACGACCUACGGGUGAAAGCAGUGGAUCUUCGGACCUUGCGCGAUUGAAUGAGCCGAUGUCGGAUUAGCUAGUUGGCGGGGUAAAGGCCCACCAAGGCGACGAUCCGUAGCUGGUCUGAGAGGAUGAUCAGCCACACUGGAACUGAGACACGGUCCAGACUCCUACGGGAGGCAGCAGUGGGGAAUAUUGGACAAUGGGCGCAAGCCUGAUCCAGCCAUACCGCGUGGGUGAAGAAGGCCUUCGGGUUGUAAAGCCCUUUUGUUGGGAAAGAAAAGCAGCAGGUUAAUACCCCGCUGUUCUGACGGUACCCAAAGAAUAAGCACCGGCUAACUUCGUG